rnacentral:rRNA from 1 species
GAUGAACGCUAGCUACAGGCUUAACACAUGCAAGUCGAGGGACCGGCGCACGGGUGAGUAACACGUAUCCAACCUGCCCUUUACUCGGGGAUAGCCUUUCGCAAGAAAGAUUAAUACCCGAUAUAAAGGAUGGGGAUGCGUUCCAUUAGGUUGUUGGUGAGGUAACGGCCCACCAAGCCUUCGAUGGUUAGGGGUUCGUAGAGGAAGGUCCCCCGAAUCGGAACGUGGCCCCGGUCCAAACUCCUACGGGAGGCAGCAGUGAGGAAUAUUGGUCAAGGGGCGGUAGCCUGAACCAGCCACGUAGCGUGAAGGAUUAAGGCUUAUGGGUCGUAAACUUCUUUUAUAUAAGAAUAUGUAUUAUAUGAAUAAGGAGCGGCUAACUCCGUGCCAGCAGCCGCGGUAAUAC